CUCAUCUUGACUAUGAUCAGGCCCUCCCCGGAGCCCAGCUUGUCGGCAACUGCACUGAUGACUUCCUUCACCGAAGUGGCCACUGGCACCCGAAUGGUUGUGUAGGUGUGGUCCAUGCAAUAGACCUUAAACAGAACUCUCACCUUCAUCAGAGCCGCGGAUAGGCUGGCGCUUCUGGGCUCUCUCAUCGCCCGUAUUGAACUGUUGCAAAAGAACCUUGUGCUGUAAAACUACCUUCUUUUGUGGUGCCUUUGCAUCUUCUGAGCUACGAGAAGUAGAGAAAGCACCAAGCCCUUCCUUACAUUUGCUUGACAAUCUUCUCCAACUCUGGCAGUUGCUCCUUGAGGGCAGCAAUCAUCCGGGCAUCAUCUGAUACAGAUACAUAAAACUCCUGUAAUUGGCAAAAGUCACA
rnacentral:lncRNA from 1 species